GGUCCCGCCUGCCCUGUGACUAUUAGUUUAACGGCCGCGGUAUUUUGACCGUGCAAAGGUAGCGCAAUCACUUGUCUUUUAAAUGAAGACCUGUAUGAAUGGCACAACGAGGGCUUAACUGUCUCCUCUUUCAAGUCAAUGAAAUUGAUCUCCCCGUGCAGAAGCGGGGAUAUAAACAUAAGACGAGAAGACCCUAUGGAGCUUUAGACACCAAAGAAGAUCCUGUCAAGUAACCUCAUAUAAGAACCUGAACUAAUGGAAUCCUUCCCUAAUGUCUUUGGUUGGGGCGACCGCGGGGAAACAAAAAACCCCCACGUGGAAAGGGAGCACCCCCUCCUACAACUAAGAGCCGCAGCUCUAAUUAACAGAAUAUCUGACCAAUAAGAUCCGGCAAUGCCGAUCAACGGACCGAGUUACCCUAGGGAUAACAGCGCAAUCCCCUUUUAGAGCCCAUAUCGACAAGGGGGUUUACGACCUCGAUGUUGGAUCAGGACAUCCUAAUGGUGCAGCCGCUAU
rnacentral:rRNA from 1 species